ensembl:lncRNA
CACAGCGUCCUAUUGUCGUGUAUCAAAACCGUCAUCCAAGCAUAUCCAAGGAGAGGCUUUUACCUAUCAGCAGUAUCUCUGUAGCCUGGUCCUACCAGACUCUCGUGCUUCAUUUCAUUUGCACAGAGAGUCUGAUACCUACUCAAUAGUGGCGGACUCACGCCUCUUCCGGUAGAGCCCAUGGGACCUAUGGGCUCUGGAAGUAAUUAUUUUCUGGUGCCAGUCUUUAUAGGCACUGGAUUACACAUACGUUGUUUGUGGAUUUAAAUCAUAAUUUUUCGUGCAUAGAAAACGCGAAGAAGUUUGAUAGUGUUAGGUUUUGUGUGAGGCCGUUUUGUGAACUACAGCCCCUUGCUGCUCUCGCCGAGAAUGAUAUACGUCACCACCACUCUGGUACAGGCAUGGCGAUCUCUGCUCCACUUUUUUCCAAGGGGAGGAUAACAGCAUCGAAAGAGGUAUGCAGGAACCAGCUGUGUACGCCAAGGUCAACAACGCAUCGAGAGGGGAGGUAGCUUAGAAAUAAGGCUGAACAAAAAGAGCAGACAAAUGCAGAAGAAUUGAGGAAACCUAGCCACGGGUACUCCAUGAAGCACGUCUACUCCUGCUCAGUGAAUAGAGGAAACUGAACUUAGAAAAAUCAGAAUCCGAAAACGUAGAAAGAACUUCUUUCUGAAACACUCUACAAAAACUCAGCCCAUCGGAAGCAAGCCUCGUCGAGCCACCCGCAAGGAAGGAUUCCUCCCGCAGCCUCUGGGGGCAGCACAGAACACCUGC